CUGUUUCCUCCCUUCUGAAAGCCUUGUGCUCCCGCUCCCCCCCCCCCCGGAUUUGAGACAAUUUAUAUCCUAAUCUGAACCAGGAUUACUUGAGCUUGACAGAGCAGACAGCCAAUCACACAAAGUAGGCAGACUGGUCUCUGCUACAAACAAGUUGAAAUUACUGGUGAUCCAAGGGUGCUACCUUUGCCAGUGAUGACUAUGUUCCUGUUUGAAGAUGGCUACACUUAUGGCAAAUUAAAGAUGGGGACAAUUUUCUGCAGAGGAAAUGCAACACUCACCCACAUUUGAUGACUAAUGGAAAAGCAGAGGCCUGAAAAAGAACCAGGGCCAUCAAUCUUGAGCCAAGACAUCAGACUUUACCUUCAUCCAGAAAGCUGUUAUAGCUGUAAGCUUUCAUCUGCGAGAGACCUAACCCCUUCUGAGCUCUGAUCAGUAUCUCUUCUUUCCUCCACAAGCCUAUCCAGCCACAUAAAAACUGAUCUCAAUUUGCUCCUCCACCUGAUGCUUGAACCUAUAAUACAGCCUUACAUUGAACCAGACCACUGGCCCGUCAAGCUCAGUGCUAACUAGCAGUGGCACUCAGAGGUAUCCAGCAGGGGUCUUCCCUAGUCCUCCUGAGAUUUUUUGGGGGGGGAGGGGAGAGAAGGUAAAUUCUUCUCUGGGUUUGAAUUUUAGGCACAUGGAAUUUCAGUGUUAGAAACAAAUGUAUUUCCUUAGUCACACUCAUCUGGUGAGUUGAUAUCAUUUAACAGCAACAAAUUCCUAGCCCUUUUAGGUUAUGAGAGAUAACAGCUUGUGUUACAGCCUGGAAAAGCUGGCUUCGUAUUAUUCCUGCCACACAGCAACAUUGUUAUGAGCAUAGAAUGAGGAAGCAAAUGCAGAUCAGGUUGCCAGAAGUACAGUGGACAACCUUCUGCAUUUUAAAACCACUCGGCGCAUCCCAAAUUCCUCCGUUAAUGACACCCCACCGACCAAGUUAAAAUAAACCGCUGCAAUCACCAUUCC